GCGCGCAAAACAGAUAUCAACUGGGACAUUCUUCCUAUUCCAGACUGCGACCUUCAUGAGUUGGAUGAGGCCAUCUCCGAGGAGGAGGUCAAAACCGCAGUUUUUUCAUUGCCAAGCGAUAAGGCACCGGGUCCGGAUGGCUUUACCGGGGCCUUCUUCAAAUCUUGUUGGACCAUAAUUAAGGUUGAUGUCAUGCUGGCUAUAAACCGGUUCUCAAAUCUC
rnacentral:rRNA from 1 species